rnacentral:rRNA from 1 species
CAUGCAGUCGAGCGACUGAUUAGAAGCUUGCUUCUAUGACGUUAGCGGCGGACGGGUGAGUAACACGUGGGCAACCUGCCUGUAAGACUGGGAUAACUUCGGGAAACCGAAGCUAAUACCGGAUAGGAUCUUCUCCUUCAUGGGAGAUGAUUGAAAGAUGGUUUCGGCUAUCACUUACAGAUGGGCCCGCGGUGCAUUAGCUAGUUGGUGAGGUAACGGCUCACCAAGGCAACGAUGCAUAGCCGACCUGAGAGGGUGAUCGGCCACACUGGGACUGAGACACGGCCCAGACUCCUACGGGAGGCAGCAGUAGGGAAUCUUCCGCAAUGGACGAAAGUCUGACGGAGCAACGCCGCGUGAGUGAUGAAGGCUUUCGGGUCGUAAAACUCUGUUGUUAGGGAAGAACAAGUACGAGAGUAACUGCUCGUACCUUGACGGUACCUAACCAGAAAGCCACGGCUAACUACGUGCCAGCAGCCGCGGUAAUACGUAGGUGGCAAGCGUUAUCCGGAAUUAUUGGGCGUAAAGCGCGCGCAGGCGGUUUCUUAAGUCUGAUGUGAAAGCCCACGGCUCAACCGCGGAGGGUCAUUGGAAACUGGGGAACUUGAGUGCAGAAGAGAAAAGCGGAAUUCCACGUGUAGCGGUGAAAUGCGUAGAGAUGUGGAGGAACACCAGUGGCGAAGGCGGCUUUUUGGUCUGUAAACUGACGCUGAGGCGCGAAAGCGUGGGGAGCAAACAGGAUUAGAUACCCUGGUAGUCCACGCCGUAAACGAUGAGUGCUAAGUGUUAGAGGGGUUUCCGCCCUUUANUGCUGCAGCUAACGCAUUAAGCACUCCGCCUGGGGAGUACGGUUCGCAAGACUUGAAACUCAAAGGAAUUUGACGGGGGGCCCCGCACAAGCGGUGGAACCAUGUUGGUUUUAAUUCGAAAGCAACCCGAAAAACC